GAUUAACGCUGGCGGCGUGCAUGAAACAUGCAAGUCGAGCGCGGUACGUGGCUUCGGUCACGUAUCUAGCGGCGCACGGGUGAGUAACACGUGAGCAACCUACCUUCGAGUUCGGGAUAGCCCUGGGAAACCAGGAUUAAUACCGGAUGNGGUCACAACGGGACAUCCCGAUGUGAAAAAGGCGCAAGCCGCUCGAUGACGGGCUCGCGGCCUAUUAGCUUGUUGGGGGGUAACGGCCUACCAAGGCGACGAUGGGUAGCUGGUCUGAGAGGACGAUCAGCCACACUGGGACUGAGACACGGCCCAGACUCCUACGGGAGGCAGCAGUUAGGAAUUUUCCGCAAUGGGCGAAAGCCUGACGGAGCAACGCCGCGUGUGUGAUGAAGG
rnacentral:rRNA from 1 species